rnacentral:rRNA from 1 species
CCCUUAGAUGUACUGGGCCGCACGCGCGCUACACUGACAUGUUCAACAAGUUUCUCCUAGUUCGACAGGACUGGGAAAUCUUUGAACGCAUGUCGUGAUAGGGAUAGAUCAUUGCAAUUAUUGAUCUUGAACGAGGAAUUCCUAGUAAACGCGAGUCAUCAGCUCGCAUUGAUUACGUCCCUGCCCUUUGUACACACCGCCCGUCGCACCUACCGAUUGAAUGUUUCGGUGAAGAUUCCGGAUAGGACUGAUUUGAUUUAUUUCAUUUCUGACCUAAAAGCUAUCUAAACCUCAACAUUUAGAGGAAGGUGAAGUCGUAACA